rnacentral:rRNA from 1 species
AGCAGCCGCGGUAAUUCCAGCUCCAAUAGCGUAUAUUAAAGUUGUUGCAGUUAAAAAGCUCGUAGUUGAAUUUCGGGAUCAAUAUGUCGGUCGUGCCUUCGGUACGUACUGGUAUCAUUGGUCUCUCCUUUCUGACGAACCAUGAUGUCAUUAAUUUGGUGUUAUGGGGAGUUAGGACUGUUACUUUGAAAAAAUUAGAGUGUUUAAAGCAGGCUUUAGCUUGAAUACAUUAGCGUGGAAUAAUGAAAUAGGACGUUCGAACCUAUUUUGUUGGUUUCUAGGAUCAACGUAAUGAUUAAUAGGGAUAGUUGGGGGCAUUAGUAUUCAAUUGUCAGAGGUGAAAUUCUUGGAUUUAUUGAAGACUAACUACUGCGAAAGCAUUUGCCAAGGAUGUUUUCAUUAAUCAAGAACGAAAGUUAGGGGAUCGAAGACGAUCAGAUACCGUCGUAG